rnacentral:rRNA from 1 species
UGGGGAAUAUUGGACAAUGGGCGAAAGCCUGAACCAGCCAUGCCGCGUGUGUGAAGAAGGUCUUCGGAUGGUAAAGCACUUUAAGUUGGGAGGAAGGGCAGUAAGAGAAUACCUUGCUGUUUUGACGUUACCGACAGAAUAAGCACCGGCUAACUCUGUGCCAGCAGCCGCGGUAAUACAGAGGGUGCGAGCGUUAAUCGGAUUUACUGGGCGUAAAGCGUGCGUAGGCGGCUAAUUGAGUCGGAUGUGAAAUCCCCGAGCUUAACUUGGGAAUUGCAUUCGAUACUGGUUCGCUAGAGUGUGGGAGAGGAUGGUAGAAUUCCAGGUGUAGCGGUGAAAUGCGUAGAGAUCUGGAGGAAUACCGAUGGCGAAGGCAGCCAUCUGGCCUAACACUGACGCUGAGGUACGAAAGCAUGGGGAGCAAACAGG